CCUACGGGAGGCUGCAGUGAGGAAUAUUGGUCAAUGGCCGGGAGGCUGAACCAGCCAAGUCGCGUGAGGGAAGACGGCCCUACGGGUUGUAAACCUCUUUUGUCAGGGAGCAAGGUGCAGGUCGGGACCUGCUGGGCGAGUACCUGAAGAAAAAGCAUCGGCUAACUCCGUGCCAGCAGCCGCGGUAAUCCGGAGGAUGCGAGGUUUAUCCGGGUGUAAUGGGGUGAGAGGGUGCGCAGGCGGAGGCAAAAGUCAGAGGUAAAAGCGCGGGGCUCAACCCCGCUCCGCCGUUGAAACUGUGUGCCUUGAGUGCGCGAAGGGUAGGCGGAAUGCGUGGUGUAGCGGUGAAAUGCAUAGAUAUCACGCAGAACUCCGGUCGCGAAGGCAGCCUACCGGCGCGCAACUGACGCUCAUGCACGAAAGCGUGGGUAGCGAACAGGAUUAGAUACCCCUGUAGUC
rnacentral:rRNA from 1 species